AGCGAACGCUGGCGGCAGGCUUAACACAUGCAAGUCGAGCGGGCAUAGCAAUAUGUCAGCGGCAGACGGGUGAGGAACGCGGGGGGACGUACCUUUUGGUUCGGAACAACUGAGUGAAACUUCAGCUAAUACCGGAUAAGCCCUUACGGGGGAAGAUUUGUCGCCGAAGGAUCGGCCCGCGUCUGAUUAGCUAGUUGGUGAGGUUAUGGCUCACCAAGGCGACGAUCAGGAGCUGGUCUGAGAGGCUGAUCCGACACAUUGGGACUGAGACACGGUCCAGACUCUUACGCGAGGCAGCAGUGGGGAAUAUUGGACAAUCGGCGCAAGGCUGAUCCAGCCAUGCCGCGUGAGUGAUGAAGGCCGUAGGGUUGUAAAGCUCUUUUGUGCGGGAAGAUAAUGACGGUACCGAAAGAAUAAGCCCCGGCUAACUUCGUG
rnacentral:rRNA from 1 species